AAAAAAAGAAAACGAAAUGGAGACGACGAAACAGGAACUCGUCUUCCUCUCUUCUCCCCCACCUCACGAACUCAACCUUCCCCAACAAUGGCAAUCUCACGAACUCGCCCCUCUCGUCCCUCUUAUGACAUCACUCAUCAACGAAACCCUCUCACGCUCUCAAACUCAGCGAAUCAAACUCUCUCAACUCUCACAAAUAUUUUCAAUCAACAAGCAUAUGGGAAGGAUAAAGAGAAUAAAAGAGAGGUUCUUACAAAGUGUCACUGCGGUGGUGGUGAAUGAUGCGCAGAAGCUGGCCUCCAGGGUUUUGAUUUGAUACUCAAAAGCUCAAAGAAGCAAAUUCCAGAAGUGCUUUUUUUGCUCAAAAAAGAGUUUGUCCUAUUUGAUGCUAUUAUCCGGAAACGUGAAUUUCUAUUGUCAGAAAACUCAGUUGGUUUGUGAAUGAGGACUCAAAAGGUUGAUGGUUCUUUGGCUUUGGAGGUUUGGCUUGGCUUCAAUUUGCUUCUGCAACAGGGUUUCAAAACAGGAACCUCAUUGUAGCUGUUAUGCCUUGGCUUGAUGAUGAACAUGGAUGCUGCAGGAUGCGAGACUGAUGUGGUUUUGCAGUCAGGUGGAAUUGGGUUGGUAACAUGUUGCAGGUUGGAAUUGUGGAGGAAGAUGUUUGAUUCCUGGAGCUGCCACAGUUUCUUCAAUAUUCUGAGAAGUUUCAGAAAGUGGCGUGGAAUUGGGACUCUUUUCACUAUCCAUGGUGUUGUUUUUUCACAUGAUGUGACUCAAUUUGCUUCACAGGAAUAUUUCUUUGGUUACUCACUUUCUCUGCAACAUCAAAAUCCCUUCUAUCUCUAGACUCAACAUCGUUUGAACUAGCCCUUUUUACAACACCUUCAUCACCACAAGACUUCACAGGAACAGAUUUGAAUGUCAUUCUGUCAUUGAUUCUUUCCAAUAUUAAUGUUGCUCUAGGCCUAGCAUUGACUUGCUUGUUAUUUGUGCAGAAUUGUCAUUGCAACAUGCUGGUGUAAGUCUGAGCAUGGUAUUGGUCUAUCUUUGCUUGAGUGCUUUUGCAACAUAGCAAUGUUGGUUGCAAAUCAUCUCAUUUGGCAUGUGUACCUAUUAUGGCAUUGCAGCAGCAAGAACUGGCUUAGGAUGACUUGGAUACCAUGAUAUGAUGAAUCUAGAGUGGUAUACUGCUCCAAACUCCAACUUGGCUAAUGUCCCUGCAGCAGAUGAUUAUCACACUGCAGCACAUGGAUGUGGCGGUCUUGCAAUAUGUCUGACUUGGUCUUGCUGGUACCUAUCUGCUUUUACCAUCCAUUGGCCAAUCAUGUCCUUAUAAGCACCUUGAUGUAGGCUUGGAACAAGUUUGGUUUUGGGGUAUGUAUUUCACUGUGACCUCGCACCACUACUUCCCCAACUGACUUUGCUACUCCAAUCCAACAUAUGGUCAUACCGGGUUUCUAUUGUCACAGCUGGUGGUUUUGCUAACAUGAUUCAGGUUUGGUAAGCUAACACACUUCAGGGCCUGGCAUUGUGUUGAUGGUGUGUAGUUGGUGUUGAUGUAGUCCGGCAGGUCAGUGUAUGCUACUGAGUAUUGUCAUUUGGCCAUAACUGGCAUGAGUUUAGUUUAGUUAUCAUGUUUUGUAACAGGUCUGAACUGGUUUUGUUGGCGUAAUGUAGGCUGGUAUAUGCAUAGCUUGAUAGUUCAAUGAUUAUGGCUUGCUAAUGAUUUACUACAACCUAUUGUUACUUGCCUGUUGGUGGAUUGAAUUGUAUGCAGGUGAAUCCCAAUCAUCAUCAUAACUGAGCUGCCAUAAAUCUCUUGAGCUAGACUAGAUAAUUUGGAAUGUUGGUGACCUUGUAGCAGCAGUCAAGAAUUCAUUUGGAUAUGUUUGGUUUUGAUGUGCAGUCAUCAUUGCCUCUUACUUUUAAAUCCAAGACUCCAAUAUAGCUAAGACAGUUGCACCAUUGCAGCUUGAAAUGGUGAUGUACCACUCAGAUUUUGGUUUGUAGCAUUGAACCCUGAAUCCAGGAUAUCUCCUGUUUUUGCCUUUCCUGAAGUUACGGUCUUAACAUUACCGAUAGACUGAUUCCGCUUUAUAACAGGAACUUUUUUCUUUAAAAGGUAUUUGGUUUUUAGAAAUGCUUUCAUUCUGUGCCAGUUUUGGCCUGUCAUAUCUCACAGGGCAGCAUUGUGUAUUGCCAAGGUUUUCACCAGAUCAAAGUCUCACUUGCUUCACCAGUUGACUAGCUUUGGUCGUGGGCUGGUUUUUCUGCAGGAUGUGUCAUGAUUGCAGCAACUUUCAUGAGCCUUCUCCAUUAUCACGAGUCCAAAGCCUACUGCAUAUGUAAGUAUGUCUAAUAAUCAUGUAAACAUCAUGGUGCUAUUGCAAGAUUUUAGGCAAGGCAAUAUGCAACAGGAUAUUGAAUGGACUGCUGCAGCAGUAGGGCUAGCAAAUCAUGUAUUUCCAUUGGAUUGAUCGUGCAUUUCCAUGGUUUGAUGAGUUGUUUUUGGUUAGCCAAGAGUGAUAAGUGAAGUUGGUUUGUUGCAAGUUGUGUGCCUUGAUGCACUGCUUGCUGCAGAGUUUAUUUGGCUUAUGGCAUGAGGUUUAACAGGUUCACCACUGGUUAUGUGCUUAUGGUGCUGCUGCAAGAUAAUAAGCAAGGGUGCACACAUAGACUUUGGUGAUAAAUCAAGACAAGAUAGCGUGAGAUUAGGUCCAAGUUUGGGAUAGACCAAGGCUAAUGACCGUUGAUUCAAAGGUGUUCAAAUAGCAUGGUGUGCACAAAGUCACUUAGUUGCAAAUGAAGUAAUCAAGAAAAAUCAUCAACAAACAUGAAGAUUGGAUGACACAAUGAAAUAAAGGGCCAGGCCAAGUUUGGAUAGUCAAGAGCAAGUGAGGGUUGACUUUGGUCAAAGUUGACCAAAGUCAACAAUUGGUCAAAAAUACGUUUUUUUUAUCUUCUUUGUAAAUGAAAAAUGAAAUAUUGGUUAGGAUGAAAUUUAGGGUUUAAAGAAUUUGGGUUGACUUUGGUCAAAGUUGACCAAAAAGUCAACUGUUGACCAAAGUCAACAGUUGGUCAAAAAUGCCGAAUUUUGUAUUUUCUUGUAUUGACUCACAUGUAAUGGUUUACAAUGACAUGAAAUAGAUUGAAAUGGA